rnacentral:rRNA from 1 species
GACGAACGCUGGCGGCGCGCUUAACACAUGCAAGUCGAGCGAGAACCAGGGCUUCGGCCCUGGGGAAAGCGGCGAACGGGUGAGUAACACGUGAGUAAUCCACCCUCGGUACCGGGAUAGCCCGGGGAAACCCGGAUUAAUACCGGAUGGCCCAGCAGCUCUUCGGGGCGGCUGGAAAAGGUAGCUUCGGCCUCCGACCGAGGACGAGCUCGCGGCGGAUUAGCUUGGUGGGGGGGUAACGGCCUACCAAGGCGACGAUCCGUAGCUGGUCUGAGAGGACGAUCAGCCACACUGGGACGGAGACACGGCCCAGACUCCUACGGGAGGCAGCAGUGGGGAAUCUUGCGCAAUGGGCGAAAGCCUGACGCAGCGACGCCGCGUGCGGGAAGAAGGCCUUCGGGUUGUAAACCGCUUUCAGGAGGGACGAAGCCACUUGGGUUAAUAGCCCAGAGGGUGACGGUACCUCCAGAAGAAGCCCCGGCUAACUACGUGCCAGCCGCCGCAGUAAAAC